rnacentral:rRNA from 1 species
UACGUAGGGGGCAAGCGUUGUCCGGAUUUAUUGGGCGUAAAGAGCGUGUAGGCGGCCAUACAGGUCAGCUGUGAAACUCGAGGCUCAACCUCGAGACGUCGGUUGAAACCGUAUGGCUAGAGUCCGGAAGAGGAGAGUGGAAUUCCCCGGUGUAGCGGUGAAAUGCGCAGAUAUCGGGGAAGAACACCCGGUGGCGAAGGCGGCUCUCUGGGACGGUACUGACGCUGAGA